GAAAAAACCACGCGGUCUUUUUCUCCCCCCCGCCUNUUGUUGGGGGNCCGGCUCCUCUGUCUCCGCCCUCUUCUUCUCCUCAUCCUCAUCUGUUCCCUGCUUUUCCACGUGUGUUGGGAGAGUGGAGGAGGAAGUGUGUGUGUAUAUAUGUAGUAUCAUCGGAAAAUGAUCCAGCGGCAGGCCACCUACAGCGCCGUGGUACGACCUCGUUCUCACAUGAAGCAACGAUCCGUA
rnacentral:rRNA from 1 species